rnacentral:lncRNA from 10 species
AAAUGCAAAAGGACUCUGCCUUCUGUGUUAUUACUGCUGUAGCUUUUCUCCCACUCAAACACUCACUUCCUGGGACUCAAAGAAAGUGCAGCUGAAUUCGAUGGCUUUUAGCUGGGGACUGGCUAGAUCAGUGGAAAUCACAACCAAGUUCUCCCACUGCCUUUCUAUCCAACAGCACUGUGGAUCACCCGCAGACAAGGAUGGAAUCACCAAAAAGUAUAAUCAUUAGGUCACUAGAUGUGCACGUUGGCAAUUUUCGAAAAUAUUGCCAGAGAGAUUGAAAUAAUUCACCACUGCCCCUCCUCCAGCUUCUCCUGGGCAUGCCACAUACACUGUGGGAAGGGGAAAGGCUGACCUAGAACACCUUCAAGUGGAUGCUACAGAACCCACCAGGGCAGAGCCUCAGCUCUCAGCCUCCCGGAAUGAACCAUGAACCCAAAGCAAAGAGCAGAACUCCUUUGACACCUCCAGCUUCACAGACAAAGAUGAAUCUCCUAAGGCAUUUCUGAAACAUGCAGUUCUGAAGUCUGGCCAGCCACACCAAAGAGCUUUUCGCAAGAAGGCACAGGCCAGGUAGAGGCAGCUGUGCAGUGGGAGGACUGUGAUGUUUUGGACUAGAAAAUAAGACGCAAAUGAGGCCAAAAAAACACAGGCACUGCAUAAAGGUGUCUUCUCCCCACUUUAUAAGCCUUAUGUGUGAUAAUAUUCAAUGCCACAGCAAGGCAAGCAAAUAGGUCCUUGGAGGGAGGGAUAGCUGGAUUUUAAUCCUGGCUCUACACUAAGGUCUUGGACUACUUACUGCAGGUCUCUGAGCUUCAUAGUUUUAUGUAUAAAAUAGGAUGAAGACCAUCCCCAAAUCCACUUCGAUGGUGAGAAUUAGGUGACAUGACAGCAGAAGGGCAUUUAGAGUUUGGCACAGAAGGGAUCUCAACAAAUGGUAGCUGUGUUUCAUCGUUCAUUUGAGAACUGAUGUUUGGAUCCUUUUCUGCAUCUUGAAAUGUCCCAAAAUAUUCCUCCUUAAGCCCUGCAGUUGGAUACUCAUUGAUACUUCUCUGUUCAAUUUAUACUGCGAGCAGGGGAGGGAGGCUUGAGCUUGGUUCCAUGAACGAGGUUGAAGGGUGUAAGUCUCCCAGCUUCAUUUCUGUCUCCUCCUCACCUGGGGAGCCAUGGCCAAUUCUCUUCCCAGGUCACUUGACUUCUCCAUGACCAUGACUUUCACCUUCUGCAUUUUGGAACAAUAUACUCAUGAAUGCUAAGAAGCUUUUGUUUCUUUCUGCCUGUGCUGAGCCUGUCUACUAUAAAAGAAAAAUCACAAUGGUUGUCAUAGUUAUGCUCUUUGCUUCCUGAGUGGAAUAGCACCGGUUUUUAUGUUACAUUAUACUAUAUUCUGGAUCUCUCUUUGAUGGUGGGUUAUGGAGAAGGUUUGCCAAUUCUUUCUUUUACAAUUCUUUUUAAAUAAAUCCUCAGAAUUAAGGCCAUUUUAUUAUCUUCUUUUACUUUUAAAUACACACACACACACACACACACACACACACAUAUACAUAAAAUGCUCACCAACUUUAAAAAAACAUAUUUAAACACCUGGAGUCUGCCAUAUAGUGGUAUUGGGAAAGAAUCCAGAAGAAAUUGAGGCCACGGGAAUAUUUUAAAAGGCAGGGCUUGAACACAAAUUCCUUCUGCUCCAUUUGCAUUGUAACCAUUUAAGGUGAGGCCUUCUCAGCUCCUACCAGGACUGUUUAAGAACCUUGCACUUGCUCUCUGGCCUCUUUCCCCUGCAGUGUGUGCUGCUCAAGUAUCUCAGUCAUCACGUGAUACGCCAGCUCAAAGUUCCCCAAUAGCUCCCCACUGAUAGCAGGAUAAAACCCAUUGUCCUGAACCAGACAUUCAAAAUCCUUUACUAUCAGCUUCCUUCUGACUUUCCAGGCACUUGACCCCCGUCAAGUGGGUUUGCUCAUUGUCUCGGUGUGCUGUGAGAGUGCUUAAAUACCUUUAUUUUGUGCCCUAGAGUUACGGAUCUCUCUGUUUUCCCCCUUCAGAAAUCAUUUUCCUCUUCCUUAUCUGUCCAAAUCUCACCCAUGUCCUUUGUGUACUGUGACUGGAAGCUCAGUCUCCACAUAGAUGGAGACUGCAAAGGGCUACCUGUCUUGAUGAGUAGCCAUUUUGUGCUCCAUUUCCCUUUGCCCACAAAUGGAUGGAUAUUCCUGGGCCGCAUGGUGUCCUGUUCCCCACUUUUUCUUUGACUUUCACUGGCAGCUCUACUAUCUUUCCCCUGCUCUGCUCCGGCGACUUCUUAGUCCCCUUUCUUUACAAAUCCAGAAGGAACUUGAUAGCACAGAGGUGUUGUUUCUCUGCUAUAAUCUGUGUCCAAGCGCAUUUGCAUAUAGUUUUACAAUUUUGUCUCCCACAUUGUGAACCUGUCCUCCAGGAAAACUUCCCUGGGCAGGCAAGGAGAGGGGGAGUACCGAUGUUUCCUGCCUGUCCUGGACACAUUUGAGCGCAUGUAAAUUGACCUACAAGCCUGUCAGGAGGUGUUUUGAUCCACAUUUUCAGAAAAGAGAACUGAAGCUCAGAGAGGGUUAAUGACUUUCUCUGGGAGCGUUUGAUACCAGAUAUGAUGCCAAAGAUGAAAAAAAAAUUGUUGUGGGAUGGAGCUUGUUAGAACAGGCUUCACAGCUGUGGUGGGACCUGAGCCAGGCCUUGGUCUGUUGGGCAGGAGGAGAGAGCACCAUGAGUGUGAGCAGCAUCACAAAGAUUUCAGACUCAAUGUGACAAUGUGAUCCUUUACGGCUUCCAGAGAUUGUACCUGAUUUCCUUUAAGAAUGCAUAUUAAAGUUAAUUGCUUGGUUUUGAGCAUGCAAACGCUGAAAUGUGCUAGAAUGGUCAAAGUUCAGGGGUAAGUGAACUUUACUGCAGCAUGUUGAGAACAGAAUGAAUGCUGACAAAGAAGCAGAGACUUUUUAAUUUUAACUGCAGGUCAAAAGAGGACUCUUAACACAAGGUAGCUGAAACUGGGCAAACACACGAUCCCAGAUGGUUUUAUACAGCAUAAAAAUGAAUGAGCCAAUGUGGGUUCAUCGAUGGUAACAAAUGCAUCACUCUGUAUGUGUGUGAGGGGGUAUGUGGGAACUCUCUGUACUUUCUGCUCAUUUUUGCUGUGAACCUAAAACUGCUCUAAAAAAUAAAGUGUAUUUUAAAAGAAAAUUAAAUUAAAUGUUUAAAAAUUUUAAAUGAAUGAGUCUAAUUACCAAAGCUACCAAUUGUGGCCGGAGGGGAGGGGAGGACGCACCCUCCUCUUAGUGUUUUGGAGCAUAGACUCCUUGCUCAGCUAUGUGAGCUUCAUCGUCUUUUAUUUUUCCAGCUCACUGGGUAACGAAAUGCUUACGAGCACUGAAGGCCUAAAAAAACAAGGCAUGAAAUAUUAACAAAAGGAGGAAGAAGAAAAUGAAGAGAAGGAACUGGAACACAUUUUAUAACCCGUAUAUUGAAAAAUAAAAAGCUGGCUGCACAUAACAGGUUGUAGAAGCAUAAUGAUGAGGCGUCCAGGAAAAGGAGUUAUAC